ACUGAGAUAGCUCAGUUGGUAGAGCAGGAGAUUAUUAAUCUCAGGGUUAUGGGUUCGAACCCCACAUUGGGCA